rnacentral:rRNA from 1 species
AUUGAACGCUGGCGGCAGGCCUAACACAUGCAAGUCGAGCGAGCGGCGGACGGGUGAGUAAUGUCUGGGAAACUGCCUGAUGGAGGGGGAUCACUACUGGAAAAGGUAGCUAAUACCGCAUACCAUCAGAUGUGCCCAGAUGGGAUUAGCUAGUAGGUGGGGUAACGGCCCACCUAGUCGACGAUCCCUAGCUGGUCUGAGAGGAUGACCGGCCAAACUGGAACUGAGACACGGCCCAGACUCCUACGGGAGGCAGCAGUGGGGAAUAUUGCACAAUGGGCGAAAGCCUGAUGCAGCCAUGCCGCGUGGGUGAAGAAGGCCUUCGGGUUGUAAAGCACUUUCAGCGGGGAGGCGGUACCCGCAGAAGAAGCACCGGCUAACUCCGUGCCAGCAGCCGCGGUAAUUC